CCGCCGAUCACUUGGAGCCACGUGCGGCCGCCGGCGGGCUGCGUAGUGACGCAGGCGCGAGACUGUGCGGUGGCAGCCAUGGCGGACGGUUGAGAUGAGGCUGCUCCUGGGUCUCGCGGCUAUCCAAGACCAUUGAGGGUCCCCGGCGGCGCCUGCCGUCUGCUGAGGCUGGGUGGACUCCUCUGCGGCAGAUCUCCUGUAAGAUGUGCUGGUUAAGGCUUCUGGCAGAUUCGGGUCAGUCCCAAGUGCGACCGGUCUUCUGGGGCUGCCGUCCGCAGACCCUUCUCGCAUCCACGUACCUGGCGGCCUCCCUCAUCGCGUGCUGUUGGUAGGGGGGCGAGUCAGGCCCUGUACACGUCCUGACAGGCACCCGGCCCACCCCCAGCCAACUGUGCGCUGUGUUCCUGCCCCAGCACGAGACCUGUGGGGUGUCCGCGGCAGAAGAUGUCAGAGCUGGAAGAGACCUGAGAGGCGAUCCCUUGGUGGGUGAUGGGUUCUUCCGGGAAUCUGGUGGUUUGCGCGCCUUGUCGUCUGCUUCCAGAACAAGGAUCUUCGCUGUACGCCAAGACCCAGACCCCUCUGACAUCGGAAUGACAAGUGGGAUAUUUAAUAAAACAGUUUCAAAUU
rnacentral:lncRNA from 1 species